ACCGUCUGGCAGCCCUCCAAACCGCCAACCCUCCAUCCCUCUAACCCUCUGUCUUUCGUGAGGCCUCCGCCUGGCUCUGGCUGCCAUGACUGACUCCAAACCUCCAUGGAGCCACGUUAAAAAACAGUCUGGUCUGUCUCAGCCCAGUUUACAGGCUGAGAGGUAAACAACAGCAGCGACGACAACAACUCUCCUGCAAAGGAUAGCAGAAAUUCAAAACUAUUAGUUUCAGUUUGAAUAUACACAUUUGUUUUCUGGGUUGUUAUAGGCAACAGAACAUGUAAUAAUGCAAUUGACAAACUAUUAGUGCAAAUAAAUGUGCUUCAUCAUUUCCUUGUUUGGACAGGUGUGCAGGUCGAGCAGAGAGUUAGUGUGUUUUACUGUACUUCUCUCUGUCUCGAACCUACUCCUCCUAGCCCAAAUAACCCAGCUCAACUCUAGCAUGCAAUGUACACCCGCAGACCUGGGUUCAGUGACUAUUUGAAAUGAUUUCAGAUACGUUAUCUGUGCUUGAUUGAGCUUGCCUGGCUUAAUACGUAGGUAUUGGAAAGACUGAAUCGUUGAUGAACCCAGGUCUGCACCAGCCAGGUGUGAGUUUGAGCUGGCUUCUGAUAGAGUGCCAGGCAGUUUCACUCAGCGCCGCGACCAGGAAGGACGCCAGUACUGCGAAAACAAAGUAUGCAGAAGACAUUUCGGGCCGCUGUGUGGCUGAGACGAGAGAGAGUGUGGGGCUUGUGCCAGCCCGCCAGACACAUUCACAUCCCAAUGAGACUGUGAGAGGGUGGCGGCGGUGGGGGGGGGGGGAGAAUAGAGUGAACAGGAUAGAAAGUAGAGUUAGACAGUGAGGGUGUGAGAGAAAACCCCUUAAUAAACCCCCGAGGACAACAGAGCUACUCCCGGAGGUUGUGAAAUCGAGAACAGGAGUACACAAUGACUGGUCUAACUGAACUGCGUCGGUUCUGCUCUGCGCAGCGCCAAACACUACCGUGUUUGACAGCCAUCUGCACUUGGUUUCUAUAGCAGCAGUAUGUGCAGGACAGUAUCGACCCACUCUUUCUCUGACAAAGCAGUUCAUCACAUACUGUACUUCCUCUUCUUGAGCUUCGGCCAUUUUGAAGUCACCGAAGCACGUUGUAAGAGGCUUUCAGGGCUGACGAGACUUAUUGUUGUUAUUGUAUCAUGACAGUUAAAGUAAAGGACAAGGUGUGGCUAGUUUGUUAUUCUAUUUUUUAAUUUUUUAUUUUUAAGUGUGAGGUAUUAUCGCUUUUCCAAAUUGAGAUUGUGCUCCGCUGGCUCAUUCAGAAACGUGUCCUCAUGUUCUGUACACCUCAUGGCAUGCUAACUGCAUUUCAAAUGAGCAGUCACAAGGGGAGUUUCUAAAUAUUUGUUAUACUAAAGUUGUUAAAGUUCCCAUAGGCAUCAGUGUGGUUGGUGUAGAUACAGUCCUUACUGUGACGUGAGUCAGUGGGUGAUUUCAGACCUUGAUCAGCAUAGGGGGAAAAUCCACGCACGUCAACCGCUAAGCUACUUACCUCCCACAGACAGAGUCUGAAACAAUGGCAUCACUGAUUUGGAUUCCCAGAAAUUGUCAUCACACAAAAAAAUAUGAAAUAUCGACUUUCAGGCAAAGAGAGAAGGAGGCGAAACAGACACAAUAGAAAGAGGAAUUGUAGAGUAUAGUGCUCAGUUGUGGUGCCAAGUGCUGCGGGGGCAGAAGGGUAAAGAUGUGGUACCAGGCUGGCCCUGUGGUAAGCAUGACACUCUCUCUAGUGACGCUGCUGGGUAGAGGUGGCAGCAUGGCCCUGUGGUAAGCAUGACACUCUCUCUAGUGACGCUGCUGGGUAGAGGUGGCAGCAUGGCCCUGUGGUAAGCAUGACACUCUCUCUAGUGACGCUGCUGGGUAGAGGUGGCUGCAUGGCCCUGUGGUAAGCAUGACACUCUCUCUAGUGAAGCUGCUGGGUAGAGGUGGCUGCAUGGCCCUGUGGUAAGCAUGACACUCUCUCUAGUGACACUGCUGGGUAGAGGUGGCAGCAUGGCCCUGUGGUAAGCAUGACACUCUCUCUAGUGAAGCUGCUGGGUAGAGGUGGCUGCAUGGCCCUGUGGUAAGCAUGACACUCUCUCUAGUGACACUGCUGGGUAGAGGUGGCAGCAUGGCCCUGUGGUAAGCAUGACACUCUCUCUAGUGACGCUGCUGGGUAGAGGUGGCUGCAUGGCCCUGUGGUAAGCAUGACACUCUCUCUAGUGACACUGCUGGGUAGAGGUGGCAGCAUGGCCCUGUGGUAAGCAUGACACUCUCUCUAGUGACACUGCUGGGUAGAGGUGGCUGCAUGGCCCUGUGGUAAGCAUGACACUCUCUCUAGUGACACUGCUGGUUAGAGGUGGCUGCAUGGCCCUGUGGUAAGCAUGACACUCUCUCUAGUGACACUGCUGGGUAGAGGUGGCUGCAUGGCCCUGUGGUAAGCAUGACACUCUCUAGUGACACUGCUGGGUAGAGGUGGCUGCAUGGCCCUGUGGUAAGCAUGACACUCUCUCUAGUGACACUGCUGGGUAGAGGUGGCUGCAUGGCCCUGUGGUAGGCAUGAUACUCUCUCUAGUGACACUGCUGGGUAGAGGUGGCAGCAUGGCCCUGUGGUAAGCAUGACACUCUCUCUAGUGACGCUGCUGGGUAGAGGUGGCUGCAUGGCCCUGUGGUAAGCAUGACACUCUCUCUAGUGACACUGCUGGUUAGAGGUGGCAGCAUGGCCCUGUGGUAAGCAUGCCACUCUCUCUAGUGACACAGGGAUUUUCCCUGGUGGUGUAGUGACUCAUAUAUUUGACUAUGUUCCAACCUUCACACCGCAUCAGAAAGGCCCAUGCCAUACUCUUUCUUAUACAAUUCUCUGAUGUGCCAUACUCUUUCUUAUACAAUACUCUGAUGUGCCAUACUCUUUCUUAUACAAUACUCUGAUGUGCCAUACUCUUUCUUAUACAAUACUCUGAUGUGCCAUACUCUUUCUUAUACAAUACUCUGAUGUGCCAUACUCUUUCUUAUACAAUACUCUGAUGUGCCAUACUCUUUCUUAUACAAUAAUCUAAUGAUGAGCCAUACUCUUUCUUAUACAAUACUCUAAUGAUGAGCCAUACUCUUUCUUAUACAAUACUCUAAUGAUGAGCCAUACUCUUUCUUAUACAAUACUCUAAUGGUGAGCCAUACUCUUUCUUAUACAAAACUCUAAUGAUGAGCCAUUCUCUUUCUUAUACAAUACUCUAAUGAGGAGCCAUAGUCUUUCUUAUACAAUACUCUAAUGAGGAGCCAUAGUCUUUCUUAUACAAUACUCUAAUGAUGAGCCAUACUCUUUCUUAUACAAAACUCUAAUGAUGAGCCAUUCUCUUUCUUAUACAAUACUCUAAUGAGGAGCCAUAGUCUUUCUUAUACAAUACUCUAAUGAUGAGCCAUACUCUUUCUUAUACAAUACUCUAAUGAUGAGCCAUUCUCUUUCUUCUACAAUACUCUAAUGAUGAGCCAUUCUCUUUCUUCUACAAUACUCUAAUGAGGAGCCAUAGUCUUUCUUAUACAAUAGUCUAAUGAGGAGCCAUAGUCUAUCUUAAACAAUACUCUAAUGACAGAAGCAAGGAAACGGAAGGGGAAAAAGACCAUGUCAGGCAAAUGGUCGAAAGUAGAAAUAGGGAUCCAUAUCAUAGAAAUAGAAUCCAUAGAACGGGCUUGGAUUUUAUUCUAUGAUACACAUACAGCGGCUUCAUCUGUAGAUACACUAUAUAGACACACUAGGCACACUACAGACACACUAUUGACACACUAUAUAUACUGUACACUAUAUAUACAAAAGUAUGUGGACACCCCUUCAACUUAGUGGAUUCGGCUAUUUCAGCCACACCCGUUGCUGACAGGUGUAUAAAAUCGAGCACACAGCCAUGCAAUCUUAAUAGACAAACAUUGGCAUUAGAAUGGCCUUACUGAAGAGCUCAGUGACUUUCAAUGUCAGUUGACCUGCAGUGCUAGAGCCCCGGUCAACUGUAAAAGCUAUUAUUAACCUCUAUAAGCAACAACGGCUCAACCGGGGUAGUGGUUGGCCACACAAGCUCACACAAUGCGACCGCCGAGUGCUGAAGCGCGUAAAAAUCGUCUGCCCUCGGUUGCAGCACUCACUACUGCCUCUGGCAGCAACGUCAGCACAGUAACUGUUCGUCGGGAGCUUCAUGAAAUGGGUUUCCAUGGCCGAGCAGCCGCACACAAGCCUAAGACCACCAUGUGUAAUGCCAAGCGUCAGCUGGAGUGGUGUAAAGCUCGCCGCCAUUGGACCCAGGAGCAGUGGAAACGCAUUCUCUGGAGUGAUGAAUCACGCUUCACCAUCUGGCAGUCUGACGGACAAAUCUGGGUUUGGCAGGUGCCAGGAAAACGCUACCUGCCCCAAUGUAUAGUACCAACUGUAAGGUUUGGUGGAGGAGGAAUAAUGGUCUGCUGCUGUUUUUCAUGGUUAGGGCUAGUCCCCUUAGGUCCAGUGAAGGGAAAUAUUAAUGCUACAGCAUACAAUGACAUUCUAGACGAUUCUGUGCUUCCAACUCUGUGGCAACAGUUUGGGGAAGGCCCUUUCCUCUUUCAGCAUGACAAUGCCCCGUGCACAAAGUCCAUACAGAAAUUAUUUGUUGAGAUUGGUGUGGAAGAACUUGACUGGCCUGCACAGAGCCCUCAACCCCAUCAAACAUCUUUGGGAUGAAUUUGAACACCGACUGCGAGCCAGGACUCAUUGCCCAACAUUAGUGCCAACCUCACUAAUGCUCUUGUGGCUGAAUGGAAACAAGUCCCCGCAGAAAUGUUCCAACAUCUAGUGGAAGCCUUCCCAGAAGAGUGGAGGCUGUUAUUGCAGCAAAGGGGAGGACCAACUUCAUAUUAAUGCCCAUGAUUUUGGAAUGAGAUGUUUGACGAGCAGGUGUCCACAUACUUUUGCCAUGUAGUGUAUCAAUGUAUUGAGAAAUUCAACAGGUUGUUUAUAGCUAGCCAUAAAGUCAAUGGGGCUGAAACAACUGUGUGUGUGUGUGUGUGUGUGUGUGUGUGUGUGUGUG